rnacentral:rRNA from 1 species
AUACGUAGGGGGCGAGCGUUGUCCGGAAUGAUUGGGCGUAAAGGGCGCGUAGGCGGCCUGUUAAGUCUGGAGUGAAAGUCCUGUUUUCAAGAUGGGAAUUGCUUUGGAUACUGAUGGGCUUGAGUGCAGGAGAGGUUAUCGGAAUUCCCGGUGUAGCGGUGAAAUGCGUAGAGAUCAGGAGGAACACCAGUGGCGAAGGCGGGUAACUGGACUGCAACUGACGCUGAGGCGCGAAAGUGUGGGGAGCAAACAGGAUUAGAUACCCUGGUAGUCCACACUGUAAACGAUGAAUGCUAGGUGUAAGAGGUAUCGACCCCUUUUGUGCCGGAGUUAACACAAUAAGCAUUCCGCCUGGGGAGUACGGCCGCAAGGUUGAAACUCAAAGGAAUUGACGGGG